AGAGUUUGAUCCUGGCUCAGGAUGAACGCUAGCGGCAGGCCUAACACAUGCAAGUCGAGGGGUAGAGGCAGCUUGCUGCUUUGAGGCCGGCGCACGGGUGCGUAACGCGUAUGCAAUCUACCUUUUACUAAGGGAUAGCCCAGAGAAAUUUGGAUUAAUACCUUAUAGUAUGUUUGAAUGGCAUCGUUUAAACAUUAAAGAUUUAUUGGUAAAAGAUGAGCAUGCGUCCCAUUAGUUAGUUGGUAAGGUAACGGCUUACCAAGACGAUGAUGGGUAGGGGUCCUGAGAGGGAGAUCCCCCACACUGGUACUGAGACACGGACCAGACUCCUACGGGAGGCAGCAGUGAGGAAUAUUGGUCAAUGGAGGCAACUCUGAACCAGCCAUGCCGCGUGCAGGAUGACGGUCCUAUGGAUUGUAAACUGCUUUUGUACAGGAAGAAAAAGUACCACGUGUGGUAUAUUGACGGUACUGUAAGAAUAAGGAUCGGCUAACUCCGUGCCAGCAGCCGCGGUAAUACGGAGGAUUCAAGCGUUAUUCGGAAUCAUUGGGUUUAAAGGGUCCGUAGGCGGCUUUAUAAGUCAGUGGUGAAAGUUUGCAGCUUAACUGUAAAAUUGCCAUUGAUACUGUAAGGCUUGAAUUUUUGUGAAGUAACUAGAGUAUGUAGUGUAGCGGUGAAAUGCUUAGAUAUUACAUGGAAUACCAAUUGCGAAGGCAGGUUACUAACAAACGAUUGACGCUGAUGGACGAAAGCGUGGGUAGCGAACAGGAUUAGAUACCCUGGUAGUCCACGCCGUAAACGAUGGAUACUAGUUGUUUGGUUGUAAGACUGAGUGACUAAGCGAAAGUGAUAAGUAUCCCACCUGGGGAGUACGAACGCAGGUUUGAAACUCAAAUGAAUUGACGG
rnacentral:rRNA from 1 species